AUCAUAAGAUAUCAAUAUUCCCUUAAUUCAUCUCUUAGUUAGGAUUUUCAAAAUCUGAUUGUGUGUUCGAUCUUCGAUCAACCACCAAACUAACGGCAAAAAAGAUGAGGAUGCUUCUCUCGCAAGUGUUUCGAUUAUUAUGCUUGAUCCUCCUCUUAUCUCAAGUCGCUGGCAGCAUGGGCAGAGAUGCAGAUAAGCCAAGGCCACAAUCACCAGUUCUUAUAAAAGGGCAGCCUUCACCCCAUCCUUGAAAACAAUAAUGACGCAUGAACUUUCAACAUAUAUAGGGGAGUAAAAGGAUCCUUUUGUCACUGGUUUGAGCCAUUUAAAAUUAAGUUUUAAUUUGCACAAUCUUCAGAAGAAUUAAAUGAAAAGAAGUAAUUGUUAUAGGUUGUUUCUUCCGGUUCUCUUUGAGAAUUUUCCGUUAUUUAUUUAUUUUGUAAUAACUUUUUUCUUUUUUCCGAGAUAAAUGAUAUGAAUUUUAGAUGAUAUUGUAAUUUGUAAAAGUAAAAAGUAAAAACAAAUUUGCUUUGUAUUAUGCAGAA